ACACACACACACACAAAAAACAAACAAUGAAAAAGAAAUUAAGUUAAACCUGAUGGCCUGGAUGUUUUGGUUGUGGAAGAAACCUGUCUAGCAGAAACCAGUAAAACUUGAAGAAGAAGAAGUCACUACCCAAAAUUUGAUGUAUACUGCAUCUUUUAUGAAAUUAAAUUUUUGAUAGGUAUAUGUUGUCCUAUUCUACAGAUAAAAAACCUCAAGUUGAUGAAGAUGUAAAAGUUAAGCAAAUGAAUAGGCUGCAGCAACUUAGAUCUAGAUGCUCUUAUAAUACAAUUACUAAGGAUGAAAGUGGAUGGGUUUCAAAGCCGCAAGCAAGAAAGAAGAAAGAGCCAAGAGAAUGAAUAGUUGGGAGCAUGAAGAAGGCCUUGAAUGCAAGAGGGAGAAAUAAAAUAGAGAUGAGAGAGAGUGAGAGUGAAACAUGGUGAAAGAGAAAGAAAGAGAAUAAAAAAUUUUUAAACCUAUUUUAAUGUAAUAUAUCAUCAUUUUACUGUUAAACUGGCGAUUGUAGGUUACAUAGGAUUUAAAGUUACUUUUCUUAAAAUUUAAAAGGUUUUAAGUUAAGAUUUGAUAUUUAUGUAUCAUAUUGUUACCGAUCUCAAAAUUCAUGUAUCAUAGGUGAAAUUCACCUCUUGUACCACGUAUAACAAAAUAAUUCUCUAAGUAAAAGAAAUUAUUAUUUUAAAUUGAAAGACUAUAAUAUUACAAUCGCAUAAAUUUAAAAAUAAUUAUUAAAGACAGGCCAAUUCAUUCUUCCUUUCACAACAAACCGAAUGCUUCUGGUAGAUACUUGUACUUUAAAGCCAGUGAAGCUUCUGCAAUAAGAUCUGAUUUUCUUUAGCAUCUAUCACUUGCAAGAUAUAAAGCUUUCCCUAGCACUCAAGGCAUAAGUUAAAAGUCAUUACCCAAUUCUCACGUUCUUGGAAACCAUCAAUGCUUAGAAAUAGGACAACAGAAAAGGCACCAUAUCCAGAUAAUUACCCUACCAGAAAAAGAAACAGAAUUAUACAAAUGUAAAAGCAGCUCACACUACUACUGUUGAUAUUAACUAGAGUCCCACAAAGUUAAUAAAAAUGGAGCAAUCCCCAAUAUUUGCCAGUCAUCCUUGAAUUCAGGUUCUAUUCAUCAUUUUGAUGGAUGGCCGGCCCUCUCUACAAGAGGAAAUGAGCUCAUCAAGAAAAUAGAAUGAUAAUAGUACAUGAACCUAUCAUUUUCCUCCUUGAAAAUUCUCUAAACAGAGCCACCAGAAAUCCUACUUGGAGCAACAACACUCGAUUCAGCACUAAGAGUGCUAUUGGGGACAACAGUAGGAUUUCCGACAUUGACAGCAUUGCUAGUUUCAGCACUUUUUGGCCCUGAAAUCAUAAUUUUGGCAGCAUGAGAAAUGUUAGCAUGUGGAACUGGGCAAACUGUGGCAACAUCAGCAUUUUGUAGCUUCUGCAUUGUUUCAGCAGCAGAAACAGCAACCCUUUGGAUGCUGGCUGUAGAAGGAUCUGUGCUAGUUUUCUGCUGGUCACUAGUUGCCAUGUCAUUUGCAGCAUGAAGUUGCUGCAACCUAUAGUCGGUUUCAGGCCUGCGACAAACUUUUCUGAGUGGCACAAUUUCCUCAGAUAGGUCAUGAUCAUAACGCACCAAAAACCUACAACGGCAACCUCUUACAUCAUGCCUCCGCCUUUGUGCAUCAAGAACAUGCGCAUCAAAGUAGAGAGCCUGAUCUUUACCUUCCUGAAAACAGAGUAUGAGGUCUCCAGGAAGAACUGCAACACAUUCUGAUGCUUCACAAGGAAGGGACCGCUGCCUGACGAGUUUACGAAUAUUAACCCACUCAUCCUCAUCUGGUCCAAAACCGGCAAACCGAACCAAUACUUCCUGAGAUUACCAGUAUCACCAGAACAGAGCAUAAGGAGCAGAUUGAUUGAAAAACCAAAAAAAGGUAUCCCACAACACCAAGAAGGGGCGGAAAAGGAACUCCUUUAUUCCCAAGUGGCAAACAGCUAUAAAAACUUAGAAACAACACAUUUUUGUACAACGUCAAGAGUUUUUGUUGGCUCUUAGUGUAUGUAGAGAGUACAACAAGAUUCAGUUAAGUCUCCUAAUUCCUAGCACAAAGAUCAGUCAAAUGUUAGUUUUGGCAGAUUAAAAAUGGGAACCAUUUGGUAGCUUGCACGAAGCCCUAGAAAGAGGGUGAAUGCUUGUGUACUUUAGUGAAUUCAAAUCUCCUAAAAGAAGGAAGAAUAGACUCUAGGAUUAUAGAUAUUAAUAGGAUCCAGAAUUAUCUGAAAUCAGUAGAUCAGUUCUAAUUAAUUAAUCAUGAAUAUUUAAAAGAAAAAUGAGCUCAAGUACUAUUACCGGAUCUCCUGUGUCUAAAUGUCUAUGGGAUAGGAAAGUCCCAACAUCAUACCUGACAAAGAAGAUAACACUUUAAAACAGAUUCUAGUAAUAUGUCUAUCUAUCAAAUAAAGAAAGAAAAGUACCAAUAAGAAACCAAAAAAGCAUUAAAAUCUCAUCAAUUGAAUUCCCAACCAAAAUGCCAAAAUGGUGCCAAAUACUUACCAUGCCCCAUCCCUUGCAGAUUUGGCUUCAAAUUCCAUGUAAGAAUUUUCUGUAGUAGCCCUCGCUGCACUAGAGACUAUUCAAGAAGUGAUGGAAAAAAAAAAAGAAUGAAAAGCUUCUCAUGAAUUUAAAAUAAUGAGUUCUUUAGCAUUGUCAGGGGGAGGGGUGAAUAGUAGUUCUUCGAUCUUUGUUCCAUAUGCUGUUUGAUACAGUUUCUGAACAGCUAAUAAGAACUUAAAGGCUUCCUUUGGAAUAAAUCAUUUGCAAGAAAAGAAUUCAAUUGAAUUCUCACACAAUCAUGCAUGAUUUCUAUUUCUUUGAAAAGAAUUUUUUUUUUAAGUUAAAAAAAAUUGAAUUCUUUUAUUCCAA
rnacentral:misc_RNA from 1 species